ACACUAGUUCAAGAUCUCUGUGGCGGCCGGCGGCCAUCUUGGAUGAGAGGUAAACAACAACAUGAGCUGGACGGCGAUGUCAGCUCGUCUACAAGAGUGGGAAGGCAGUCAUCGGGAGGACAAACCCUUCAUGCAAACUGCACCUACUAUUAAGAAGAAAAAGAAGGAGUAGGAAGAGCUUGUUGUCAGCUGCUGACGAGGAGCUGAAGACUAAGCGCUUGUAGUAAAGGAGGAGGAAGCCUAUCGAUUAUAAUCAUAAGAGGUUAUCAUUAUGCAGCAAGACGUACAUUGGACGUGCCAAUACCCGGUAUCUUAAACUCGUGUAAGUGGCUGACCAUCUUUAUGCAGUAAGACAUAUACUGGACGUGCCAGUACCCAGUGUCAUAAACUCGUGUAAGUGCCUGAUUGUUAUUACAUAGCAAGACGUACAUGGGAUGUGCCAAUACCAGAUCAUAAAAUUGUGUAAGUGACAAGUUUGUAGAGAUUGAAUAAAGGUUUUAGUGAUGUG